ACCCAUCCCGGCUCCAGAGGCAACCAACGAACAUUAGUCACAACUCUCUCUACCAAAUUCACGGUUGAUUGCACACUAGAAUGCAUUUCAUAGAGUUGAGUACUCCUAUGAAUUUCUUUCCAAGGCUGUAACGGCAUGAUAAAACUUUCAUCGUGAAUUAAUUUAUUCCGCCAAGUCCACAAAGCAUGACAGCCCGUCGCCCAAAAUUGCACCCAUCUCGGUUUAUUGAUGUUGAGUUCAAUCCAAUCAUUCAAAUCUGUAUCAAAAAACUGGUUUUGGAUCUGAACAUCAACCGAAUUUACCCAUAUGAUCAUAGCUAACGGACAGUCGCGGAGCACAUGAAGAGUUGUUUCAAUGGUACUUUGACAAUGAUGACAGUAAGGUGUACCAAUAUGCAUUUGACUUCUUCUACCUCUUGUUAGUAUCUAUCAUGUUUAAGAAGCCAAACAAAGGUUCUAACUCUCUCAGGCACAUCAUUUAUCCACAAAUUAGACCAUUCAUACCUUCUGUCAACCAACAAUGCUCCCAAGCUCUAACACAUUCACCAUUUCUAAUCAUCCAAAAUAUUAUAGAUGUCAUGCUUGGCCAGAGCUGUACCAAAUUCUUCCAUAGACUCGAAUCAUACGGUUUCACAAUAACAUUAUGAAGCAUUAAAUUAUGCCUAUCAUACUGACCCAUCAACACUGCACUCUCCUUAAUCCUUAUGUUUCAAAUUCCAAGCAAGUUUCAUGAGACAAGCCUUGUUCAUUUCUUCUAACCGUCGAAUACCAAGACCCCCUAAUCUAUUCGGUUGUUGAGUGACAAUGUCCCAAUUAACAGCUUGCACAUGUGUCACAACUUGUCAGUGUUGUGUAACACAAACACAUGUUACAUUCAAUUACAUCCCCUUUUUCAAAUCAACACUUAUAUUUGGUCACCUCUUAUUCAAUUACAUAAACCCAUUCAACACCUCCUUUUCUCUCUAUCUCUCUCUUCCUAUCACAUCACCCACUAGUCAUAUAUAUCACAUCACUCUCUCUAUUUCUAUCUCUCUCAUGGUGUUAAAUGGAUGUAUAAGUGUACACACAUAAUCUUCGUUUUCAAAUUAUCACUCGUGCCAACAUGUCAGUGUUGUAUCUGGUGUCCGACACAAACACACUUUACAUUCAAUUACUUCUAUCAGUUGUCAGUAUCAGUGUUCUAUCUAGUGUGUCUAAGUGUUCUAUCUAGUAUGUCUAUGUCACUACUCACUACUACUAACUAAUCAAACUUAAUAAUAACAUUGAAACACACACAAGUAUAACUAAGCAUAGAGAAAC
rnacentral:lncRNA from 1 species